rnacentral:rRNA from 1 species
CGAGGAAUAUUGCACAAUGGAGGCAACUCUGAUGCAGUAACGCCGCGUGAGGGAAGAAGAUUUUCGGAUUGUAAACCUCUUUUUGUAGAGACGAGCGAGGACGGUAUCUAUAGAAUAAGUCUCGGCUAACUACGUGCCAGCAGCCGCGGUAAGACGUAGGAGGCGAGCGUUAUCCGGAUUCACUGGGCGUAAAGCGCAUGUAGGCGGUUGUGCAAGUCGUGUGUGAAAGUCCCCGGCUCAACUGGGGAAGGUCAUGCGAAACUGUGCGACUCGAGGGCAGGAGAGGAACGUGGAACUCCCGGUGUAGCGGUGGAAUGCGUAGAGAUCGGGAAGAACACCAGUGGCGAAGGCGACGUUCUGGUCUGCACCUGACGCUGAGAUGCGAAAGUGUGGGUAGCAAACG